AACGAACGUUAGCGGCGCGCCUAACACAUGCAAGUCGCACGAGAAAGGGCUUCGGCCCCGGUAAAGUGGCGCACGGGUGAGUAACACGUAGGCAAUCUGCCCUUGAGUGGUGGAUAACCCUCCGAAAGGAGGGCUAACACAGCAUGAGACCACGACAUCCACGGAUGUUGCGGCCAAAGUAGGCCUCUCCACGGAAGCUUACGCUUGAGGAUGAGCCUGCGGCCCAUCAGCUAGUUGGUAGGGUAAAAGCCUACCAAGGCAAAGACGGGUAGCUGGUCUGAGAGGAUGAACAGCCACACUGGAACUGAGACACGGUCCAGACUCCUACGGGUGGCAG
rnacentral:rRNA from 1 species